rnacentral:lncRNA from 1 species
GCCCGCUGCUGACAGAAAGACUGAGGGCCGGGCGCCAGGCCGGACGGAGCACAAGGCGGGGGCCAAGCGGAGCCCGGCCCCGGCGGUGGCGGUGGCAGCAGCGCAGGACGCAGAGGAGGGUGAUGAGGGACCUAACACAAUUGUGAUCUGCAUGGUCAUCUUACUGAACAUUGGUCUGGCCAUCCUAUUUGUACAUUUUUUGACAUGAGGUCCCCCUCGGACAAGGCGUUGCUGCUCACUGAGACCAUGGACCUUGGUGGGGAUUUAAUCUCAGUCACCUGGAAACACCUAUGAGAAGGACUUGAGAUCCCAAGGUUGCACUGCAAACAUGAACCUUAAGCAAAAGUACCUGAAGAUCCCCUGUCCAGUCUCCCUGCUCCCAGGCUGUGGCUGGCCUCUGCAAUCUACCAAGAAAAAGGCCGAAUUUCUACAACUCAACCUCCUUCUCUUCUUUGUAUAAAAUGGCAGUUGCCUUAAAUUAUUCUCACCAAAGCCAUCAACUGCCCUGUCAUGCCAGGGAUGAGGAAUUUAUCUUUAGCUGUAGGAAAGUGAGUGAGAAGGUCUCAUCCACGCACUGUGUUUUGUAAUUGUCUUGGUUGACUUGAUGUUGGAGGUUUCCCAAAGAGUAUCAUCCACGGCCUGAAAACGCAACAAUGUGCAACAACCAAAAUGACUCCUGAGAGCUGUGCCACGGCUAGGGCUGGGCAGCGUCUCCCUCCAUGCUCGUAUGUUAUUCAAAGGGACAAGCAAAAAGUCUUUCCUUUCCCAUCAUAUGGAGUCGUUUUCCACGUACGGAGGACUGAGAGGGGGAGCAUGUUGACACUGGGCUUGGUGAAGUGUGACCGGAGCCCUGUGAAUGCCUGCCGACGAGCCAUGGUCGGGGCUGCGGGGUGGGGUGUGAGGGGCUGGCUGGUGUGAGGCUGCUGGUGUGCCCAGGGGUGCUGCGGGUGCAGACAGUGCCCAUUUCAGGGCUGGGCACCAUCCAAGCUCUCUCGUGCCGCCAGCAAUGCUGUGUGUGAAAGCAUCUUGCAGCGGGUGACUUCCCUCUGUAACGGGAAAGGAAAUCAAUGUGCUGAAUUUGCCCCUUUACCCCUUUUUUUUCUUUUUUCCCUAUGAAAAUGGUGCGAGUUACAAUUGAAAGGAGGUACUUACUGAACAAUACCCCUGUAUACCCACAGGUUCCUCCUCCUCCUCCUCCUCCUCGUAGUGCUGAGCUGUGAGGGGGCUCCAGUGCUGCUUUUUCACCGAAACAAAGCGGACAGCCUUUCCCAGCAGAGCGUGCAGGGUGGCUGUUGUGGGAGAGGUGAGGUUAUUCCUGAAAGGAGAAAGGUGCAGAGACCCGAGUGACUCCAGUGUGUUUGGGCAUUGCGCUCAAAACUAUGCAGCAGCCAGCCUUUCAGCAAGGGUAGAGCACAGAGGGGCAAUAGAGCUGUUGUUCUGUGUGCCAGGCUUAGAGGCCUGGACAGUUUGCAGCAAUUCUUCCCAAGGCUGCAAUAGAGAAGUGACCUUUGGAAGGAGAUGUUGCCACUGUGAUCUGCUCUGAUCCUUAGCAGUGUGAGCUUAGAAAGUCGGCACAGAUGAAGUUACAGUUUAGUGUGAGGCUGAGUGCUUGGACCUGUUUCUUCCUUCUUUUAAGAGCAAUAUGUAUUUUGUAUCUAUUUUUAAGUUAAUCGGAAAUGUUAUUUAUAGUCGGUUGUGCACCUCUGUGUAUUCUGAAGUCUCACAGCACAGGACUGGGUGGGAAAACCUGAGAGACUGGAAAGAACGUGGAAGCGAUGGUCGAGGGAAAAACAGAUGGCCAGUCUGCUCCAAAGGUCUUACGAAGAUGCAGAUAUGUUUCACUCUUCACACAAAAAUACCUUCAUCACAGAUUUUGCAAGCUGUGUACUACAAUCC